AGAAGGCAUCUUUUGAAGUUGAAAGUUCAGGCGGUUAUGGAUGGGCAUGCGUUGUAUUAGCUAGAUGGUGAGGUAACGGCUCACCAUGGCUACGAUACAUAGGGGGACUGAGAGGUUAACCCCCCACACUGGUACUGAGACACGGACCAGACUCCUACGGGAGGCAGCAGUGAGGAAUAUUGGUCAAUGGACGCAAGUCUGAACCAGCCAUGCCGCGUGCAGGAUGACGGCUCUAUGAGUUGUAAACUGCUUUUGUACAAGGGUAAACCCUGGGACGUGUCCCAGGCUGAAAGUACUGUACGAAUAAGGAUCGGCUAACUCCGUG
rnacentral:rRNA from 1 species